GAAUGUCUAGAUUUAAACAGGUUGCAACCUUAGGUGUCUACUUCCCAGAAAGUAAUUGUGUUUCUUUAGUUGUUAAUGGUUCGAGCACCGAGGAAAGGGAAUGCUUGGAUGCAGCCACAAGGGAGCAUAUUCGGGACUACAAUGAAGAUGACAAGAAUGCAAAGAUUGAGAUGUUUGGUUAUGAAAUUAGUGAGGAUGAAAUAAACAACAUCCCAGAAGCCAGAAGGAAAGACGUGAAAAUGAAACUAGAGCAGGCACUCCGACGAGGGGCAGAAGCUCGUUACAUGGCAGCCAGAGGAAGGGAUUUACCAGCAUUUAUUACCCACAUGGAUGUGUUGUGAUUGGUGUGCCCUUGUUACACAAGCCAAGCCUUUGGAAUCCAUAAACCUGGUUAAUCAUCUACUA